rnacentral:rRNA from 1 species
GACGAACGCUGGCGGCGUGCUUAACACAUGCAAGUCGAACGGAAAGGCCCUGCUUUUGUGGGGUGCUCGAGUGGCGAACGGGUGAGUAACACGUGAGUAACCUGCCCUUGACUUUGGGAUAACUUCAGGAAACUGGGGCUAAUACCGGAUAGGAGCUCCUGCUGCAUGGUGGGGGUUGGAAAGUUUCGGCGGUUGGGGAUGGACUCGCGGCUUAUCAGCUUGUUGGUGGGGUAGUGGCUUACCAAGGCUUUGACGGGUAGCUGGCCUGAGAGGGUGACCGGCCACAUUGGGACUGAGAUACGGCCCAGACUCCUACGGGAGGCAGCAGUGGGGAAUAUUGCACAAUGGGCGGAAGCCUGAUGCAGCAACGCUGCGUGCGGGAUGACGGCCUUCGGGUUGUAAACCGCUUUCGCCUGUGACGAAGCGUGAGUGACGGUAAUGGGUAAAGAAGCACCGGCUAACUACGUG